UACGGAGGGUGCGAGCGUUGUCCGGAAUCAUUGGGCGUAAAGGGUGCGUAGGCGGCGGGGCCAGUCUGAUGUGAAAUCCCGGGGCUCAACCCCGGAACUGCAUUGGAUACUGCUUUACUAGAGCACUGGAGAGGGAACUGGAAUUUACGGUGUAGCAGUGAAAUGCGUAGAUAUCGUAAGGAAGACCAGUGGCGAAGGCGAGUUCCUGGACAGUUGCUGACGCUGAGGCACGAAGGCCAGGGGAGCAAACGGG
rnacentral:rRNA from 1 species